UUUUUAAUAUAUAUUCCUACAUGUUAUCAUUUCAAGGAAUUCUAUUUUGUUUAUUCCCAGCCAGUAGCUAUGUUAUGUACAUUAAUAUUAUAUGUAUAAACAUUUUAUGCAAUACAAGUUUAUGCAACUAUUACAUCUUCAAUCUUGGGUGGGCUACCAAAUUAUUUAACAGUAUUUUAAUUCAAGCCAUCAGGCUUAACCCACAAUUUCAAUUAUAAGGGCUGAAUUGAUGAAAUACACAUG
rnacentral:misc_RNA from 1 species